UCGAGGAAAUAGGAUAUGUUCAAGAAGGGAGUGUACUAGCCAAUGAAGACCCUGGAAUGAUGCCAGAACAUGAUUUUCCCAGGGCCGUGGCGUUAAAAGUACUUUGGCAAACAUCUUUCUGUUUCCAGAUCCCUGCAAUAAGCCUGGCUCGGCUGUUGCUGAAGCUGAUGCCAUGUGGCAGCUAUUUCAACUGAUGAGCCACCAAAGAUCAGAAUGAAGAGAAACAAAACAAAAUGUAAAAACCACACGGCAAUUACAUUGGAUUGCGUGUACAGUCCAAUUAACAAAGCCUUUUAAUGGGCCAGACCUUCAGAGUGCCGCUGAAAGACUGCAUGCGGAUGUGGCUUGUUUCUCUUCUCCAUCAACAUCUCCAUUUUAAGAGACAGCUGCUCACAGCUGCUUGUCCUUCUAGUUACCAAGGCAGCCAUGGGAAGAAUAGAUAGCAAAGCAACGACAAACAUGGUUCCAGGCUCUUCAGUGACACCUCCAGGGACUAGCAAGAUACUUGGAACAAGCAAUCAGAAAUUCAUGGACAUAACUCCAAUUUUUGUUAUAGAUAUCCUGGAGGCCCCAAGACAAUAAAGGCUAUCACCGUUACUCUUGAAUUCUCACCAGAAUUUCAUGGUGCUACCAUACUUUCAAGAGCAUGACUCAUCUUCUGAGUUUCCUAGCUUCUGGAAUCAUCACUGUCUUCAGAACAGCAGCCUCCCAUGCUAUCGUGCCUCCUGGGGAUCCCGGCUCUUGUUGGAUAUUGAUCACAUGAUUCUGUAUUUGCAAGUUAUGGAGCCCAGUUUCCAAGAAACCUUCACUCCUUGGAAAUAAAUCAAGACAUUUCUGAUUGCUUAUGCUUCUAGCUAUCCAUUCAAAACACCGGUCACUAUAUUAUCCUGAUAAGCUACUUCAUAGUUUCCAAUAUUUCUGUUGACCUAAAUAUAUAUUAAUGCAGAACACUGGCUUAUGUCGGACAAAUUAGGUGAUAUGUGAGGACAGAAUGCACAAUUUAAAAAAUUUUAAAUUUCCCUGCUAAAUCAAGGAAUGCUCCUGUCAGAGAAAGAAGUAAGUUGCCAGCAGAUCCACAUCUCCUUCUUCUCUCCCAGAUCCAAUCCCCAUGGUCUCAUGCCCAGUUUUAUAGCAAAAAGCUGCUAUGUUCUUCUUUUCCUCUCUGAUCCCAUCUUCAUAAGGUCACACGUCUGCAGAAAAUUUCCUACCAGUUAACAUACAGCCAUCACACUCUCCUAAAGUCUAGGAAGGAAAUGGAAACCCAAGAACAAAUACUCAACAGAGACAAAACUACAUAUUAUUAACCAGAUCUAUUAGUACCCCCAAUUCCAGAUUCUCAGAUAUCAGCAUAAAAAUCACAGUCAACAACAAUCAGGACAGUCUUUAUUAGAGUUCAGCAAGCCUACCAGAACACAAACUAAGUAUUCCAACAUAGGAGAAUACCUAGGAAAAGACUCGCGAACAUUGAAAAGAUUUCCUUAAAGAGUUAAAUAAAUCCCUUAAUGAAUCCAGGAGUACAUAAAUAAACACUGGAAGAAGAUGAAUAAAACUAUUCAAGUAAUAAAGAUGGAACUAGAUCUAAUGAAGAAAAGCCCAAAGUGAAGGAAUUCUGAAAAUUAAAAAGAAUGGGGAAUUCUAACAGAAAUCACGGAGACAAACUUCGUCAACAAAAUACAAAUAGAAGAAGUAAUCUCAGAUGUGGAUGAUCUGAUAAAUAAAUGUAUACUUCUGUCAAAGUAAAUAUUAAAUAUAAAAAUAGCCUGACACAAAACAUCCAGAAAAAAUGUGAGACUUUUAUAAAUCAAAGAUUAAUAAAAUAGUAUAAUAAUAUAAUAAGGAUAGCAAUAGGAACAGAGGAAGGAGACGUCCAGAUCAAAAACAUUCCAGAGAAUAUUUUCAACAAGAACAUAGAAAAAGAUUUUGACCUAAAACAGGAGUUGCCUGUAAAGGUAUAAAAAGUAUACAGAAUAUAAAACAGAGGCACCAGAAAGAAAUUCUAAUAAACCACCACAUAAUAAACAAAUGACUAAAUAUAUCCAACAAAGAAAGAAUAUUAAAAGUUGCCAGGGAAAAAGACUAAGUAACAUAUGAAGAAAAAGCUAUCAGAAUUAAACCCAAGUUCAUAGUGAAGAUUCUAAAAGCCAGAAGGUCCUGGACAGAUGUCCUGCAGACUCUAAGAGAACGCAGAUGCCAGACAAGACAAUUCAACAAAUUUCUCAAUUGCCAUAGACUGAAAAAAUAAGACAUUUCAUGAUAAAAUCAAAUUUGAUCAAUAUUUAUCUACAAAUCCAGUCAUGAAGAGGACACUAGAGGGAAAGUUGCAACCUAAAGAUGAUAACUACAACCAUGAAAACACGGUAAAAAAAUAAUCCCAGACCAUAAAAGGAAUGGAACACACACACACACACACACACACACACACACACACACACACACAAUCGUCCAUCACUAUAACCACUACAACCACCACGUACAACAACAAAAUAACAGGUAUCA
rnacentral:sRNA from 1 species